rnacentral:lncRNA from 1 species
GAUCUUUCCUAUGGUUUUCUUUGUCUGUAUUUCAUUGAUUUCUGCUCUGAUCUUUAUGAUUUCUUUCCUUCUACUAACUUUAGGUCUUGUCUGUUCUUCUCUCUCGAGCUGCUUUAGGUGUAAAGUUAGCUUGUUUAUUUGAGCUUUUUCUUGUUUCCUGAGGUGGGCUUGUAUUGCUAUAAACUUUCCUCUUAGAACAGCUUCUGCUGCAUCCCAUAGGUUUUGGAGUGUUGUAUCUUCAUUGUCAUUUGCUGCUAGGUAUUUUUUACUUUCCUCUUUGAUUUCUUCAGUGAUCCAUUGGUUGUUUAGUAACAUGUUGUUUAGUCUCCACAUGUUUGUGUUUUUUGCAGUUUUUUUCUUGUUGUUGAUUUCCAGUCAUAUAGCAUUGUGGUCGGAAAAGAUGCUUGAUAUGCUUUCAAUUUUCUUAAAGUUACCGAGGUUGGAUUUGUAGCCAAGGAUGUGAUCCAUCUUAGAGAAUGUUCCUUGUGCUCUUGAGAAGAAUGUGUAUUCUGUUGCUUUUGGAUGGACUGUCCUAUAAGUAUCUAUUAAAUCCAUCUGGUUUAAUGCAUCAUUCAGGGCCUGUGUCUCCUUAUUGAUUUUCUGUCUGGUUGAUCCAUCCAUUGCUGUAAGUGGGGUGUUAAAGUCCCCCACUAUUACUGUGUUAUUGUCGAUUUGUCCUUUUAAGGUUGUUAGCAGUUGCCUUAUAGAUUGUGGUGAACCUGUGUUGGGUGUGUACAUAUUUAAAAUUGUUAUAUCUUCUUCUUGGAUUGAUCCUUUGAUCCUUAUGUAAUGUCCUUCUUUUCCCUUAAAAUAUGUAUUGCUGUUUUAAAAGAUCAUUUGCAUCUGAUCUUUACUCUUAAGUCUUGGACCAAAACAGAUGAGCAUCUUAACUGAAUAUCUUUAUACUUAUUCAUUUCUGGUGAUGUGAGGGGCUGGGUUUUAUUACACUUUGGUGCCAGUGACCUAAAAACUUGACUUUAAAUGUCUCUUUCAAAGAAAUUCCACUACAUCUUGGGGGAUUUCCAUGUAAUGGUGCUGUACUUAUGUACAAAUUUUUUUUAAGGGAUGCAGAUACAGCACAUGGAAGCUCCCAGGCUAGGGGUCGAAUUGGAGCUGCAGGUGCCAACUCUGCCACAGCCACAGCAAUGCCAAAUCUGAGCGGCAUCUGUGACAUACACCACAGCUCACGGCAACCCUGGAUCCUUAAUCCACUGAGCAAGGCCAGGGAUCGAACCCACAACAUCAUGAAAACUGGUCGGGUUUGUUUUCACUGAGCCACAGUAGAAACUCAUCAUGUAGCACACUUAACGAAGAACUGGCAAGUUACUAGUAUGCCACACCAUCUGACCUUAUUUCCCAAUGUGAGAUUUAACAUAUGUCUUUUCCAUCAAAAGAAGCCUUGGUUACUCCAUUUUGUUCCUGCUUUGUCUGAGACACCCUUCUCCAGCCUCCUCCUUUCCCUCUUCUCCCAGUAACAGUUUGUUUCAAAUUAGCCAACCAAGAAGAAAUCUGCACCCUGACCUGACCAAUAGGAGGGGGACAGAUGUACCACCUGUGUUAGGGAUAAAUAGUGGGUUCUUUCUUCUUCGUGAGCACUUGUUUAUUUGCCUACUCGUCACCAUCAGGGAGCAUUUGCACCCUUCUGCAGAAAGCCUUGUCCAGAUCUCCCCCUAUUCAUGUGUCUUACUUUCCGAUACUGACAAUCUGAGCCAGGGUCACUUUUCCCCAACUCCACUAUUAAGAGGAGAUCAGGAAGGUAGGUAUAUAUUAUGAGUCCUUUUUACAUCUUGAUAGUAAGAUAUAAAAUAACAGCUUGCUGGGCACAUGUUAGCCCAUAGUUACCAACACAUAACUCAGAUUCCCAGGGUGAAACGUAACCUCUCAGGAACCAACUAUCACUCUGGAGGCUGCUAGGUAAUGACCCAGUUACUUCUUCGGAUGCCUUAAUUAUCCCAGAAACACCAAAGCUCUUUUUUGAGAAGUGGCAAUCUAUUUUUGUUAUUCAUUCACACCCUCACAGCGUAUAGAAGCCAACCAGAGGAUGAUGGGAAGUCACAAACACAUGGUAUGAGUAACGUCCCCAAUGAAGGGCCAGUGGGCACCCACAGUUCUCUUAGCGAUGCCUGUCUAUACAUGCCUACCUUUAAAAUGGAGAAUCUAAAAUUCUGACAAAGAUAAAAUUAGUUCCCGAUGUCAUUAUGAAGUUAAUGAACAAAUAUAACCAGCAGAUGCUACAACAGGUUCCAAAAGAAGUUAAAUAUGCUGGGCUUUUAUUACUCUCUCUACAUUUUCUCUUUAAGCAGGUGGAGCAUAUUUUCAAGGGAGGGAUUUCUCAUUUUUAAGUUUCUAGGUCUCCACAGGCCUGGGGAAAUGUACUGAAUACCCACGGGUUCCAAAAUUUAUUAUCUCACCAAAAAAGAAAAUAAAAUAUUCCACCGACUCUAUUAUCAACAAAAUUGAGGUAUUACUAUCAACAAAAAAAGGUAACAAAAUGGGGAUGAUAUAGAAUUUAGUCUCAUGAAAAGACUAUUCCAUUAAUAAAUGUUUUUAAUUGCCUAACAUACUGAAUACCAGGCUUGAUACAAACAGACAUAGGUGUUUCCCCUAAUAAGAUAAGGGCACAAACAAAAUGAAUCCUAUAGUCAGUCCAUCCUCAAAAAAAGUUUGAAGAGGAUGAACAUGGCUACAAAAAGAUUUGCUUCCUGGAUAGUUCUAGAAUCAGCUUCGCUAAUUUACAGUCCCACCCCAGGCGGUAAGAUGCCCAGAAGCCAGCUGUGAUGCGCUAGCCUCUUGUGGUUUAGGUGAACCUGGCACUAGCACCCAGUCUAUGCCCUUUCCAAGACUUCAGUAGACCCCCCCACCCACCCCAGGGGCUAAAGCACUCAAAAUCACCUCUACCUCUGAGUUUCCCCUCUGGGGGUCCAGGUGUACAACACAGCCCACUGCUCAAAUUCUAGGAAACAACAAAGUAGCUUGUGAGGAGAGCAGACCCCUUGGAGCAAAAAGGAAAAGACAAUUUCCAAGUGAACAGUGGGCAUUCCUGCUCUCAGACGCUCUGCCCAUCCCUUACCUGGGGGAUCUUUCCAGGACUCUUCCACUGUGCUUGUCCCAGCUUCCUCUUCCCUGCAACCCCCAGCCUUCCCCCCUCAGCAAGCACAUCCAUCUGGUCUCUGAAGUAAGAGUUUUAACUAGAGAAACAACCCCUGACUGAAGAGGCAGCUACAUGCCAGUCCACAGCCUUUGCUGGCCGCAUACCACCCUUCUUAUAAUCUCGUAGCAACUAUGUACCUUAUGUCCUUGCUAGCAGCCCUGCUAAGGGUGCACCAAGCAUUGCUUGUCAGUUUUGGGUUUUUUUGUUUGUUUGUUUGUUUUUGCUUUUUUAGGGCCACACGUGGGGCAUGCGGAGGUUCCCAGGCUAGGGAUCCAAUCAGAGCUACAGCUGCCAGCCUACAUCACAGCCACAGCCACAGCCGUAGCAACAUGGGAUCCAAGCUGUGUUUUCAACCUACACCAAAGCUCACGGCAAUGCUGGAUCCUUAACCCACUGAGUGAGGCCAGGGAUUGAACCUGCAACCUCAUGGUUCCUAGUCGGAUUCAUUUCUGCUGCGCCAUGAUGGUAAUUCCCAGUUUCGCUUUUGUAAUCAUGUUUGCUCAGCUUCUUAGGCAGCAACUCUGUCUGCUGGGGGAAGGGGAGGGCCGGGACUGCCUCCACAGGGGAAAAACCUUAAGACCUGGAAGUCUGUGUUGCAUAAAACCUGCCCAGAACAAAGACCUAGUGCUCAGCCUGGCGGCAAUUCCUCUGAGCCUGCACCAGUGCUGAAUAAACCUGGCUAUUCCACAUCUCCUGUGCUGCUGGUCUCUUUCCGCGGUUUCUGCACAUCUCCACCCCUCACUGCCCCAGACAGUGAACCUGCAGUAAGCUCUUCUCCCAGGAUGUGUGGUUUCGCCCCUCGGGUCUCAUCUAUCUCUAGCAAUUUAGGCAUUUGGCUUAUUUGUUGGUUUUUCCCAAAUAAAGACAAUCUCCUCCCUCAAAAGGAAUUCUGCCAUUGAUAUAAUUGAUUAUGUACAUUGACCUUCCUGGAAAAUACUAUCAUCAAUUCUACAGUGGCCGAAACAGUUGGAUACAUUAAAGAAAUGAAGACCUUGUAACCGAACAGGACCCUGGGGGGGCUCCUGGGCACAAAAGCCUUCCUGUGUCCCCCAUUUCUUGUUCUCAGGAAAUGGGCCUCAUUCCGCCUCCACGACCUUCCCUGGGGACAGGUUCAGACAGUUGCCCAUCAGGGAAGGGAGGGGAUGCAGAGACAUCCCGGUUCCCUCUCAAGGGAUACACAUAAUCAUAUAGGCAUCUUAGACACCGGAAAGGAAAAUUAUAUUCCUUAUGCUUCUUUUAGAAACGAAUACUUUAAAACUGAACAGCUUAGAGUUCUUCCUCGUCCUUCUCCCUGGCUUAAUUGCACCCUAAACACAAUCACCUGGGAGCUAAAGAUCAGGCACUCUGAGCACAACCGCCAGUGGGUUAAAGAUUGCUAGCAUGUGUUUUCUCAGGGACGUUCCUAGUUUGUUCUGAUCUCUGACCAACAGGCCCUUUUCACAAGUCCUCUUAUUCUAGGCCGUAACCAUCAUGACCAGGCCGAGAUCUCCUGAGUUCAGCUUUGAUGACUAAGAUUCCCCCAAAGAAGGAAGAAUGCAGGUCUCUCCCAGUGCUGACUCCUAUCUGAAAACCUGUUUUUCUCCUUUUUUACUACAAAACUCCUUGUAAUUCUUUCCAAUGGUGGGGGGGGGAAACAGUCUUUACAGCAUGAGCCUGCUGUGACCCUCCUUUACCUAGCAAAGCAAUAAAGCUAUUUUUUUCUCCUUUACUCAAAACUCUGUCUCUGCGUUUCAAUUUGGCACAAGCAGACAGAGGCCAAAUUUCAGCAACACCUUCUAACAUCACGACUGUAAGAAACGUUACCAAAACAGUCAUACCGCGAACAAAAAGAACAAAAACAGAAGAGCAUUAUCCCGUUGUAAAAUGAUUCAUUAUGCAUUGCACACGUGAAAAGAUACUUCACCCCAGACACAACAGCUCCCUAUGAUCAAAGCCUGCUACGCCACAGAAAAUAAGGUUCACCAUGCUUCAGCAUUAUUACUCUGAAGGAGCCACCGUGGGACUAACAGUUUUCCCACUCAUAAUCUUAGACGGCAAAGGAGCUGUAACCUGGAGGCAGAGGAAAGGCCUCAACCUGAGAGCUCUUCACCCACCUCUGUCUCUCUGCUCCAAGACUGCUGCUCACCUAGUCCGCCGCUGCCAUUACCCCAUUUGCCUCUAACAUCUCUUCUAAGGAGGCUGGCUGCUCACCUCCUGAGGUUCACUUAGAACAGCAGUGCAGGUUCCUGGCCACAAGCCAGCUUCAGCAGGACCUGUCCAUCACACAUGAAUGGCAGGGAACCUGGAUCAACACGGCAGGCUGCCCACGGGCCAGGAGCUCCCUGCCGCAAGCUCGUCAUCAGAUUGGACUUCAAGUGGGACAUAGAGGCCCAUGUGAGGCUUUGUGUCACCCUGACCCCCUGUGCUGUUCACGCCACAUUAACCACGUGCGCUUUGUGCUGAGUCGGUUUUCAUUUUACCUUGUCCAGGAUUUUCCACAGCAUUUAACAUGCUUGUCUUUCCAAUGAGAUGGCGAAGAGAACAAAGACCUGGACCUUCAGUUUCUUUCACGUCUCCCACAUGGCGAAGCACGUGUUAACAGGCAUCUAUCAAGUGAUGCCCAAUGCCCCACCACCAAAGCCAGCCCAAGGCAAAACUGUGACAAAGUUAAUCUGUGGCUCCUUUCGUCUUUCCUUCCACCUCCGUUCUCCUUCUCUCCUCCCAUCCUUCCAGAAACAAGAGUUCACAUCACCCACUACAGCCCUUACUUAGGCCAAUGUGGGGUGAGUAUUAACUGAGGAGGGGCCUGAGGUUUAUGCAAACAGGGGGAGGUCCCACAUUAAGAGAAUACAGAAUUAUAAAUGCAAAGUCAGGCAUUAAAGUGAAUAUUUAGCUAGAAAAAAAAUAAAGUAUUACUAAUUAUAAAUUUUUUAAAGGCUGGUAACACAAAAGCCAGGAAAUACAUAAGAAUAUUUGUAUUAACUUUCUGGAAGACUUCUUUAUCAAAAUAGAUCUACAAAGAGCUAGAUAUGAUUUUGGCUGCAAACUCUUUGAUCUCCUCUUUAUAUAGCUAUUUUGCAAUGUCUUUUACAGAGUGAACACAAAGAUAAUUUCAGAGUUCUCUUGGGGCACAGCAGGUUAAGGAUCUGGUGUUGUCACUUCUGCACCUUGGGUUGCUGCUCUGGCACAGGUUCAAUCCCUGGCCAGGAAACUUCUGCAGGCUGUGGACGUGGCCAAAAAAAAAAAAAA